CUGGUAUAUCCAGGACAUCAGCACAUAGAACCAGUGAAAGGGUCCUCCCUCAUAGUGACGCAUGUCAUAGACUCAGAUUUAUACAAACAAAUGCUGAGCAAACCAUGAAGAGUCUCUGGUAUUUUCAACAAUAUCAUCACAGAGGAACUGUAUUGAUUUCCUUCCUUCAGUGGUCCAAGAACCUGCUGCUCCCGGGUCCUCUCAUUUGAAGACACCCACCGCCUAAGGAUGAAGAGAAGCUCCUUCUUGCAGAUCUGAGGCUGAUUUCCCAACUCCCAGGAACACCCUACCCACAGCCUGUUCCCCAGACCCAGAAUUUUCCAGCCGAACUAACAGUAAUUUCAGUGACAUUAAAUACUGUUACAGGAACUUUUCAAAUGUAGAGGAGCCUUUAGAAGGAAGCCUUGAGCAUGAGGACAGACCCCCCUCAUCCAACCACCACCUGACUCUGUGUGAACCUGGAACUGUUAGAAUGUCUGUGCUGUGAUAAAAGGUCAUCUCCCUACAAUGUUAUGAUACAGACCUCAAACCUACAAACAUGAGGAACUUCUGCCUCCAGGUUAACUGCUUACCCACUGUACAAGACACGUUACACACAGUCCAGGAGGCGGAGCUUCUGAGAUAUCUAGAAACAGCUUAGAGGCAAAAUGACAAAAUAAAGCAGCAACAACAAAUAAAACCAAUCUUCUCGAA
rnacentral:lncRNA from 1 species